CGUAGGUGGGCAAGCGUUGUCCGGAAUUAUUGGGCGUAAAGCGCGCGCAGGGCGGUCCUUUAAGUCUGAUGUGAAAGCCCACGGCUCAACCGUGGAGGGUCAUUGGAAACUGGGGGACUUGAGUACAGAAGAGGAAAGCGGAAUUCCAAGUGUAGCGGUGAAAUGCGUAGAGAUUUGGAGGAACACCAGUGGCGAAGGCGGCUUUCUGGUCUGUAACUGACGCUGAGGCGCGAAAGCGUGGGGAGCAAACAGGAUUAGAUACCCUGGUAGUCCACGCCGUAAACGAUGAGUGCUAAGUGUUAGGGGGUUUCCGCCCCUUAGUGCUGCAGCUAACGCAUUAAGCACUCCGCCUGGGGAGUACGGCCGCAAGGCUG
rnacentral:rRNA from 1 species